AGUCAAACAUCCCGGUAUUUACUCCCUCAUGUAAUCAAAUUCAAGUGAGUCUCUUUUCAGUGUGUGUGCCAUAAAAAUGGUAUAUGGGGUCAUAAAAGUCUUGCUGCAUCAGCCUAAAUCUUUUGUUUUGGGCUGCUUUGUUUUUUUAAUACUACCUACUAGUAAAUAGCUACUAUGUUUUGAUAAAACAAAAAUAAAUGCAUAAGUCAAAGUAAAUUAUUUGGUAAAUAGAUAGCCCAAAUGAGUUUGCAGCCAAAAGUCAGCCCCUGCCAUCCAUGUGACUUAACCACCUUGAUCCAGCCGGGUGGAGCUCAGGGUGAGUACAGUCCAGCUGCCAUCUGAACAAACAUGUGAAAAACCUCAGCUGAGUGGCUGAUGGUUGUGCAGACUCCAAAUGCAGGAGGGAAACUGGAACCCACAGAACAGCAGCAGAUUGCAACCAGGACCACAAACUAAGCUACGCAGAUGAGGGGAAGGAGAAAGGGAGAGAAACAUCAAUGUACGGUUGUGUUCUGUGCAUCCCCUGCUGGGAACUGGCCUGCAGGGAACCAGCCUGCAACCCCGGCAUGUGCCCUGACUGGGAAUCAAACUGUGAUCCUGUGGUUUACAGGCUUGCGCUCAAUCCACUGAGCUACACCGGCUGAGAAUUUUUGGCAUCUACAUUCAUUAGGGUCUACUGACCAAACCAACUACCAGCCAGCCUUGAUGCAGAGGAGAGGAAGAGAAAAAGAAAAAAAGGAGAGAAAAUGAUGUGCGAGGGAAGCACCAGUUGAUCGGUUCCCGCAGGCAUCCAGGCUGAGGAUCCCACGCACCCACAGCAGGAAUGGGACCCAUAACCCAGGCUUACAUCCUGACCACGGAACAAACCUGCAACCCUUUGGUUACUGGACGAUGCUUCAACCAUCCGAGCCACACUGGCUGACGAUGAAUUUGUUUAUUUUUGUCUUUGCUUCUAUAAGUGCAAAUAGAAAACAGACACUCUCUUCCUGCUUCUAGGAAAACCAGAUAUUAAAAUAUAAGACCUGAAGCUUAUAUUCUUAUUUAAUUCAUUGAUAAAAGUACCUCUUUAUUAAAGAUUGGUAACUCUUCUGCAUAUACCAACCAUGAAAUUGCCACCAACUUUCUGUCAAAUAAAUGUUAAUGUACUUUGUUAUUGUUGGGUUUUGUUGCUGUUAUUAUUCUGAUUUGUGAGUAUCAUUAAUAUUUUUGUGUAUUCAGAAGUUAAGAUAAAACUAUGUUUAUCUAAAUCAACUGUUAACUCAGGUUAUUCCCUAAAGAGUUAUUGUCUCAGUUAUUAUGUUUCUUUAGUAAAUGCAAAUUAAGUACUUAUAUAGUUAAGUUUUGACCAGGCAUUAUUCAUUAGAGAAAUUGUAGUUUUAUAAUGCAAAGGAAGCAUUUUUUUCCACCUUUGGCACUUUACAAUAAACUCAUUCUGAUCUAAAUUAAUUGCUGUGGGAUUAUCCUGGAGUCAUUAAAAUAGUGCUGUAUUGACAUUCACUAAUGUUUUUAAUUAGCAAUUUCAAAUUCCAGU